rnacentral:misc_RNA from 1 species
GAUGAAGAACGUAGCGAAAUGCGAUACUUGGUGUGAAUUGCAGAAUCCCGUGAACCAUCGAGUCUUUGAACGCAAGUUGCCCCCGAAGCCAUUAGGCCGAGGGCACGCCUGCCUGGGCGUCACACGUCGUUGCCCCCCCAUCUACUCCUUCGGGAUUGCGGGGGGCGGAUGAUGGCCUCCCGCGCGCCUCGUCGCGCGGUUGGCAUAAAUGCCAAGUCCUCGGCGACGCACGCCACGACAAUCGGUGGUUGCGAAACCUCGGUUGCCCGUCGUGUGCGGUCGUCGCGCAUCGAGGGCUCGAAAAAAUUGCCGGGCUCCGGCUCGGCUUUCAACGCGACCCCAGGUCAGGCGGGGUUACCCGCUGAAUUUAAGCAUAUCAAUAAGCGGAGGA